GCAGUCGUGGCUGAGUGGUUAAGGCGAUGAACUAGAAAUCCAUUGGGGUCUCCCCGCGCAGGUUCGAAUCCUGUCGACUGCG
rnacentral:tRNA from 1 species